rnacentral:rRNA from 1 species
CAGCAGCCGCGGGAAUACAGAGGGUGCGAGCGUUAAUCGGAUUUACUGGGCGUAAAGCGUGCGUAGGCGGCUUCUUAAGUCGGAUGUGAAAUCCCUGAGCUUAACUUAGGAAUUGCAUUCGAUACUGGGAAGCUAGAGUAUGGGAGAGGAUGGUAGAAUUCCAGGUGUAGCGGUGAAAUGCGUAGAGAUCUGGAGGAAUACCGAUGGCGAAGGCAGCCAUCUGGCCUAAUACUGACGCUGAGGUACGAAAGCAUGGGGAGCAAACAGGAUUAGAUACCCCUGUAGUCCCUGUCUCUUAACA